UCUUAUGGCCGUACAACCUGGAGUAUGCCUGAUCUCAUCUGAUCUCGGAAGUUUAAUAGGGUCAGUCCUAGUUAGUGCUUGAAUGGGAGACUGCCUGGGAAUACCAGGUGUUCUAAGCU
rfam:Oreochromis niloticus linkage group LG2, whole genome shotgun sequence.